AAAAUCAUUUUUUUUUUUAUUUAAUCAAAUUUGUUGUUUCCGUAUAUUUUUAUUUAAAAAAAAAAAAAAAAUAUUCAGAUUGUAAAAUUUCGAAAAUACUAUUACGAAUCAAUCAUUUGUACCUACUUAACAAAUGUUAAAAACCAUUUUUUUCUUUUCUGAAAAUCGAAUUUUUCGUGCUUAUUUUUUAUUAUUUUAAAGGGCAUAUUUCCACAAAAUAAGAUCGUGGAUGCUUAUUUUAUAGUGCAAAUUUCUAAAGUUUUUGGAGCGUAUAAAUCCGAGGCCUAGUAGUAAUACAUAAGACGCGUUACUCCUAACGCGGGAGACCGUUUAUAUUCGUCACCGCCGAGUAUAAUACCAACUCUUAUAUUAUUAUCACACACUCAAUAUUCACAACGAUUGUUUUCCAGACAUGUUAAAUAAUAUUCUCCGGACACUACACCGGUUUAUCGUUCGGCCGGCACCCGGGUCACCUGCACCUUCCGCAGGUGACCUGCAAGAGUCAAGGUCCUGAUGCAGUGCGCCUCGAGAAAACCGUUUUUUUUUUUUUUUUUUUUUUUUUUCGUUUUCACCGUUUACGAAAUACGCUUCGGUAGCCUAACCAUGGGAUUCAUAAUUAUAAAUAUCCGGUACUCGUAUAUCGCCGCAGGACAUUUUCGUUUAGUGAAUAUCCGCUGUGUGGCCCGUAUCGGUCCCUUAAAACAGACAGACCGGAGGACCGCCGGCUCGACUUUUGGAUUUUACCCCUGCAGUUAUCCCUGUCGCCACCGAUGUUGUUUGCCGUAUUAUAACACGCGUACAAUUUAAACGCCUAUACAAGUGAAAAUCUCUCUCUACUGGGCGUGUCCACGUGGACGCGAAAAAUGGAUGUAUUAAUAUGAUAUUUAGUGGCGAGCCGACGAGACAAUUUUUUUCGAUAACCGCGACCGUUCGGUAAUAACGGUCCGGUAUCGCGACGCGCGUAUCGCGAAACGCCGAAAUCACAGGACCGUGUCG